rnacentral:tRNA from 1 species
CUUCUUGUAGCUUAGUAGUAGAGUAUUGGGGCGAAAAAUCAGGAACCCGGGUUCGAUCCCCGGCAAGAGAU